AUUGAACGCUGGCGGCAGGCCUAACACAUGCAAGUCGAACGAGUGGCGGACGGGUGAGUAAUGUGUGGGACACUGCCUGAUGGAGGGGGAUAACUACGGGAAACGGUAGCUAAUACCGCAUACCAUCAGAUGUGCCCAUAUGGGCUUAGCUUGUUGGUGGGGUGACGGCUCACCAAGGCGACGAUCCCUAGCUGGUCAGAGAGGAUGACCAGCCACACUGGAACUGAGAGACGGUCCAGACUCCCACGGGAGGAAGCAGUGGAGAAUAUUGCACAAUGGGAGAAAGCCUGAUGCAGCCAUGCCGCGUGUAUGAAGAAGGCCUGCGGGUUGUAAAGUACUUUCAGCGGGGAGGCGUUACCCGCAGAAGAAGCACCGGCUAACUCCGUGCCAGCAGCCGCGGUAAUUC
rnacentral:rRNA from 1 species